rnacentral:tRNA from 1 species
GGGCCAGUAGCUCAGUUGGUUAGAGCACCACCCUUAUAAGGUGGGAGUCGAUGGUUCGAGUCCAUCCUGGCCCA